UGGGGAAUUUUGGACAAUGGGCGAAAGCCUGAUCCAGCAAUGCCGCGUGUGUGAAGAAGGCCUUCGGGUUGUAAAGCACUUUUGUCCGGAAAGAAAUCCUUGGCUCUAAUACAGUCGGGGGAUGACGGUACCGGAAGAAUAAGCACCGGCUAACUACGUGCCAGCAGCCGCGGUAAUACGUAGGGUGCAAGCGUUAAUCGGAAUUACUGGGCGUAAAGCGUGCGCAGGCGGUUUGCUAAGACCGAUGUGAAAUCCCCGGGCUCAACCUGGGAACUGCAUUGGUGACUGGAAGGCUAGAGUAUGGCAGAGGGGGGUAGAAUUCCACGUGUAGCAGUGAAAUGCGUAGAGAUGUGGAGGAAUACCGAUGGCGAAGGCAGCCCCCUGGGCCAAUACUGACGCUCAUGCACGAAAGCGUGGGGAGCAAACAGGAUUAGAUACCCUGGUAGUCCACGCCCUAAACGAUGUCAACUAGUUGUUGGGGAUUCAUUUCCUUAGUAACGUAGCUAACGCGUGAAGUUGACCGCCUGGGGAGUAACGGUCGCAAGAUUAAAACUCAAAUGAAUUGACGGGGUC
rnacentral:rRNA from 1 species